UGGGGAAUAUUGCACAAUGGGGGAAACCCUGAUGCAGCGACGCCGCGUGAGCGAAGAAGGUUUUCGAAUCGUAAAGCUCUGUCCUAUGAGAAGAUAAUGACGGUAUCAUAGGAGGAAGCCCCGGCUAAAUACGUGCCAGCAGCCGCGGUAAUACGUAUGGGGCGAGCGUUGUCCGGAAUUAUUGGGCGUAAAGGGUACGUAGGCGGUCUAUUAAGUCAGGUGUGAAAGCGUGAGGCUUAACCUCAUUAAGCACUUGAAACUGAUAGACUUGAGUGGAGGAGAGGAAAGUGGAAUUCCUAGUGUAGCGGUGAAAUGCGUAGAUAUUAGGAGGAAUACCGGUGGCGAAGGCGACUUUCUGGUCUUUUACUGACGCUCAGGUACGAAGGCGUGGGGAGCAAACAGG
rnacentral:rRNA from 1 species